AUGUGGUGGAGGCUCAGCUGGACAAGGGCCGGGGUAGAAAUGCCAGAUCCUGGGCCAGAGGGUGUCCAGCCCAGGCAGGACACAGUGCCACCCAACUCCCUCACCCCCUUUCCUGUUCUCAGACUUGGCAGAAGAAUUGGAGCUAGAACUAUUAAAUGGAAAAGCAAUGGAAAGGCACGCAGUGUCCGAAGCAGAGAGAAAGCUAUAAAAGAGCACCAAUGAAAAGCACACCAGAAACUUAGAAAAAAAUCCCAAAACCUGCCAAACUCACAGAAAGGUUGGCUAGAAGAUUUCCACACAGAAAUGUAGCUGAGACACCAUUGCUGUUACUAAAUGCAAUAUAAGCUACAGAAGACCCUUGUAUGUUCACCUACCUUCUAAGACUCUGUGAUUCUGGUGAGAUCUCUGCUUGACAUAAUUUCAUUUGCAACACCUCUCAUUCUACAUGCACUGUGUGACAUUCUUAUCAACAAAUAUCAUUGCCUGUUAGCCAGGCAAUGGUGACUCACUCAUGUUGGAAGGAGCAUAAAAUUCACACUGAAAGGAUGAUGCUCCGGACUAACCCUUUCUGGGCCAGAUCUCAAAGAGAUUACAAUAUAUCCAAAAAGGUAAUUGAUUCAGGGCAUGCACAGAGUGUUUAAUAUGAUUUCCCAUCCCUUGUCAGUUCCAAAACCUGUAUCUCUAGAAAACACUGACACACCCUGUAUCUACUUAAGCUUUCCUGCAGACCAACACUCUGGAAACAGCCUCUCUGCUAACCAAGUCAUUCCUCACUUCCACACAACCCCCAGGAAUCCACAUCGUGCUCUGCCCUUUCUGAGUUUCCUUACAAAUGUCCAGGCUGACAAGAAAGAAAAAGAACUUUGAAUGGAAUUUGUUAACCACUGGAAUUUUAGCCCUUGAGGAAAUGUAAGACAGGUUUUUGUUUAGUUUUUCAAAUAGCACAGCCCUAAAUAACAUAUCUUUCUGAAUAUCAAAGCACCAUCUCUCUGUGCGUCUGACAUUUUGUCCAACCACUCGUAAUUUCAUCAGUGUUCAUCCCUUCCCUAUGUUAUACCUUUCUGACCCUUGUCAUGCUGCCUCCUUAGAAAUGAGCCAGCUUCAACUUCUCUUGAUCUUUGACCCUUGGAACAUGUCUUGCAACACAUUUUUGUCUUUUACAUUGCUGGGCAAAAAAUUGGAAGUCAGGCAUUAACUGGUUAAUGACAGUUCAUUCAAAAUUUUCCAGAGCUGGUCCCACAGACUUGCUGUGCAUUUUGGCAGGGCUUUUUGUUCCAACAUUGAACACAGCCUCUACAAGAUUAGGAUGCGUCCUCCUCAGUUACAGCUGGCAGAAGUCUACUUGU